UUUCCCGUAUAAUUGACCUCUCUCUUCCCUCUUUCCCGUAUAGACCUCUCUCUUCCCUCUCGCUCAUCUCUCAUUCUCUCUUUCCCGUGGACAUCUAUCUCCCUCUCGUUCGCAAGCUUUCCUCUUCACAAUCUCGAAUCCAACCACUACCACUACUCUGUCGGUUGUCUCUCUCCCUCUCGUUCUAAACGACGGGCAGCCACGCGAAUCUCGAAGCCGACGCGAAUCAAGUCCCAAAAUGAAGGUGUUCUUGCUGAAGUUUUUGCAAUUUUGUCGAUGACUUUGAUUCAAUUCUGCUGAAGUUAUUACCAAGAUUGAACAAUCUGUGCAAGUUCUCUGGCAAAUACAAGCUCGCAUCUCUAGUUUGGCAAGUUUGCAUUCCAUUUGACUAGGGUUUUGGAAUUGAGGGGUUCGUCUAGAAUCAAAUUUAUUGUCGAAGCUCCAGGGCAGGUGUAUUCUCUUCCUUUAGGCUUUGGAAGAGUUCGUCCUGCUGCGAGUCAACCUUACCCUUCUGCAGGAGUCCAUGGGUUGCCUGAAGCUAUAGGGCAGCUGCAUUCACCUCAUUUGGCCUUUGAAAGAGCUCGUCCUGCUGCAAGUCAUUCUUACCCAUCUGCAGGAGUCCAUAGUGUAUAGAUGUUGCAGUUGAUCACUCGUCGUCGGAGUGUGACCAAUGAGCUUCCCGCAUUAUCAGCAUCUACUGCUCCAGUUCGAACACCGCAGAUGUCGAUGUGUUGAAGGAGGAAGUGAUAACCCUAAAGGGUAAGCUUGCGGUCCAGGGCAAGCAGAUGAUGGCCCAGGGCGAGGAGCUGAAGGCUUGUGUUGUGCACGUGAGAGACCUUGUAAGAACCAUACAGAUGAUCGACAUCCAAAUCUCGCUACCAGUACCUGAUCUUACUCCACCUUCGACCUCCGAGCCACUUCACCUAGAAGACUCCAUGCAAUUUUUUUUUGUUUGGACAUUUUGUAUGUACAUUUUCAUAUAUUUUAUAAUUAAAUACUUUUCUUUGGUUAAUUAA